CCCCAUUGUUGUGUUGUGUUUGUGUCACAUACAAAUGACAUCACAGGACAUCCGGGCC
ensembl:miRNA